UUUAGGUUUAGGUUAUAGGUUUUGGUUUUGGUUUUGGUUAUAGGUUUUGGUUUAGGUUAUAGGUUUUUGGAUUUGAGAAUGGGUUCGGGUUUAGGUUAUAGGUUUUAGGUUUGAGAAUGGGUUCGGGUUUAGGUUAUAGGUUUUGGUUUCGGUUUAGGUUAUAGGUUUUGGGAUUUGAUAAUGGGUUCGGGUUUAGGUUAUAGGUUUUGGUUUAGGUUAUAGGUUUUAGGUUUAGGUUAUAGGUU